rnacentral:rRNA from 1 species
UACGAAGGGUGCGAGCGUUAUUCGGAAUUAUUGGGCGUAAAGGGUUCGUAGGCGGGAUCGUAAGUCAAGUGUGAAAUCCCCGAGCUUAACUCGGGACGUGCAUUUGAAACUGUGAUUCUUGAGUCAUUGAGAGGGUGGUGGAAUUGUUGGUGUAGGAGUGACAUCCGUAGAGAUCAACAGGAACAUCAGAGGCGAAAGCGGCCACCUGGCAAUGUACUGACGCUGAGGAACGAAAGCGUGGGGAGCAAACAGG